rnacentral:lncRNA from 1 species
CCACAGGAGCAAGCUGCAGGCUCUGGAGAGGGAGAACCACUAGAUGGCUGCUGGGAUCCAGAGGCAGAAGGGCAGAUCCCAGCAGAGACCCCAGGCCAGCUCCCAGAGUCUGCAAGUGGAAGGUGGGCCCUACUUCGAUCCUUCCCCACUCAGCCCACUGCGGCUUCUCCUGGGGACUACACGAGCAUUUACCUGAGUGGGCACCAGCCAAGCCCCACCCACCAGCCUCCAGCCCACAGCCCGAGUCCCUGGCCCGUCAAGCGACAAGGGUUUCACAAACACCGAUGGAGAUUCUAGUCCCAGCUCUGCCCUAAACUGGCCAGUGGCCUUGACUAAGCCCUUCACUGUUUCUGGGUCUCACCUGUACAGUUCCAUCUGCGCACUGGGUGCGGGGCUCACCUGCACAGUUCCAUCUGCGCACUGGGUGCGGGGCUCACCUGUACAGCUCCAUCUGCGCACUGGGUGCGGGGCUCACCUGUACAGCUCCAUCUGGGCACUGGGUGCGGGGCUCACCUGCACGGUUCCAUCUGCGCACUGGGUGCAGGGCUCACCUGCACGGCUCCAUCUGCGCACUGGGUGCGGGGCUCACCUGUACAGCUCCAUCUGGGCACUGGGUGUGGGGCUCACCUGUACAGUUCCAUCUGCGCACUGGGUGUGGUGCAGGGAUGGGACUCUGGGGAGCUCUGACACUCAGUAAUCCUAUGACCCUGUUCAGUUUACCCACUGGUUCACUGUCCCUGCCGCACAGUCUCCCCAGCUCUAUAGAACUGGGCCUAUGCCUCUGCUGAGUUGCCCAGAGGCCUUGGUGGAGCUAAUGAUGCACAGAACAGAGUGGGGGCAAGAGAACAGGGUUCUGCUAUCCCUGCCACAUCCAGCAGCAUCUCUGCCUCCCAGCCCCCACGAGCUUUGGGAGCCCAGGUCUGCCAAGGAGCCUGAAUCUGCAAUGUGGACUCUACCAGAGGCCAAUAGAUUUCUUUGCAGGAGGUGGGCUCAGAGCUGGCCAAGAUGUGGACUGAGCUCAAGAAGGUCUGCAAUGCGCUGGAAGCUCGAGACUCAGGAGCUGAGAGCUCAGCAGCUGGCCCCGGAGGCUGCCCAGAACCAGGCACUCAGCAGCUGCUCCCCCACCCGCUGCCCACACUGUGCUUCUGACAGGCCUGCAUGGCCCCAGAGGCUCCUCCAUGCCCGAUCCCUGGUGCCCACCAUGGCCACUGACCUUCUCCUCCCCACAUUCCAUCAGUCAAGUUCCUCCUAAGCCCUCACUGCCCAAGGGGAGCCCUCACUGCCCAAGGGGAGGGCUCAGCCUGGAACGUGCUCACUGCCUCCCCUACCCAUCUCAUUACAGUGGCUCAUACUUGUAAUCCCGGCACUUUGGGAAGCUAAGGCAGGUGGAUCACUUGAGGUCAGAAGAUGAUUAGGUAAUAGGGCUCUGCCCUCAUGAAUGAGUUAGCCCAUUCAUGAAUUAAAGGAUAAAUAAGUUAUCAAGGGAGUGGGUUAGUUAUCAGGAGAGUGGGUCUCUUAUGAGCCCUUCACCAUGUGAUGCCUUGAACCACCUGUGGACUCUGAAGAGAGUCACCAGCAGCAAGAGGUCCCUCACAAGAUGUGGCCCCCCAACCUUGGAUCUCCCAGUCUUCAGAACCAUGAGUUAAAUAAACCUCUGUACUUUAUAAGUUAUCCACUCUGCAGUAUUUGUUUAUAACAACAGAAAUUGACUGACACCCUGUUGUCUGGAAUAGAUACACCCAGCCACAUGUGCAGUGGAAUGAAUCUCCUCAAAGUAAAUCCUCUUUUCCUAUUGUCUUUUUAUAAUUGUGUUCGAGAUGUUUUCUGCAGAAGAAAUAUCCACUAGUAGUUCAAGUUGAAAAUUUAGUAAGAAGGUAGUUCAAAUGGUGACCAACCCCUAGGUGUGGUAGUCCUGGGAGUGAGUUUACAGGGCUUUGACCCUCCAAGGAGCCCUCUUUAUGUCACCAUGCACAUACCAGCUGGACCUGAAUUGCUACAGUUUCUUCUGUCUGAGUAGUUACCACAAAGACUAACAGAGCUUGGCUGCAAUGCCAUCCUUGACCAACAGGAGCUGCUAAUAUAUAUAAAUAAAUAAAUAAAAUAUAUGUGUGUAUAUAUAUAUAUAAAAUAUAUGUAUAUAUGUAUGUAUAUCACCAUACAGAUAUAUAUAAAUACACACACACACAUAUAUAUAUAUACAUAUAUAUAUAUAUAUAAGUUCCUUUAGUAUAUUCUUGCUCUCUUUAUUAUUAAUCAAAGCUCACUGUAUCUGUUCUACAAAUUAUUAUUCUCUAACGUGGGAUAAUAAUGAACCAGAUCUUUAUUUCUUUUUUUUCAUGGUAAUAACAGGAUGGGUAAGACUAACUCUGACCCUUCCACAUUUAUUUUAAACCAGUAGCUCUCCUCCCCAAUCCCCCCACCCCCUGCUAUCCCUCCCCUAGCCCCCCACCUCCCAGGCCCCAGUGUGUGAUGUUCCCCUCCCUGUGUCCGUGUAUUCUCAUUGUUCAACACCCACUUAUGAGUGAGAACAUGUGGUGUUUGGUUUUCUGUUCUCGUGUCAGUUUGCUGAGAAUGAUGGUUUCCAGUUUCAUCCAUGUCCCUGAAAAGGACAUGAACUCAUCCGUUUUUAAGGCUGCAUAGUAUUCCAUGGUGUAUAUGUGCCGCAUUUUUUUUAACCAGUCUAUCAUUGAUGGGCAUUUGGGUUGGUUCCAGGUCUUUGCUAUUGUGAACAGUGCCACAAUAAACAUAUGUGUGCAUGUGUAUUUACAAUAGAAUGAUUUAUAAUCCUUUGGGUAUAUAUCCAGUAAUGGGAUUGCUGGGUCAAAUGGUAUUUCUAUUUCUAUCAGAUCUUUAUUUCUUUUUGUUUUUUUGUUUUGUUUUUGUUUUUGUUUUUGAGAUGGAAUCUUACUGUUUCAACCAAGCUGGAGUACAGUGGCAUUGCCUUGGCUCACGGCAACCUCCGCCUCCCAGGUUCAAGCAAUCCUCCUGUCUCAGCCUCUGGAGUAGCUGGGAUUACAGGCACCUGCCACCACACCUGGCUAGCUUUUGUAUUUUU